CGGAGGGUGCAAGCGUUGUCCGGAUUUAUUGGGUUUAAAGGGUGCGUAGGUGGCUCUAUAAGUCAGUGGUGAAAGUCUGCAGCUUAACUGUAGAACUGCCAUUGAUACUGUGGAGCUUGAGUACUGAUGAGGUAGGCGGAAUUGAUAGUGUAGCGGUGAAAUGCAUAGAUAUUAUCAAGAACACCGAUUGCGAAGGCAGCUUACUAAGGAGUUACUGACACUGAGGCACGAAAGCGUGGGGAUCAAACAGGAUUAGAUACCCUGGUAGUCCACGCCAUAAACGAUGAUUACUCGAUGUAUGCGAUAGACAGUAUGCGUCCAAGCGAAAGCGUUAAGUAAUCCAACCUGGGGAGUACGACCGCAAGGUUG
rnacentral:rRNA from 1 species